GAGGGCCUGCUGUGUUUCACGCGCAUGAGAGAUGACACUGUCGUUAUAUAUCCUCUUCAUUCAUUUCAGUUUAAGAGAUGACACUGUCGUUAUAUAUCCUCUUCAUUCAUUUCAGUUUAAGAUGAUAAAGAGUGUAUGUAUAAGAGCAGUGUCAUCUCUCUGCGCACGAAACAGAGAGAUUCUC
rnacentral:pre_miRNA from 1 species